ensembl:lncRNA
AAUUAUAUGUUUCUAUGGCAACAUCAUUGCCAAUGCCUUCACAUGCUCCAAAACUUGUAAUUACAACUUGUAAACUACAAAUAUUGUAAACUACAUUUCAUCAAUAUAGUUAUGAAAUGUAUCAUGUGAUAGCUGUACCACCUGACUACCGGCUAACUCAUGUAGGCGCUAUUUAGGCGCUGCCUCUGAGUCCGAGAACAUGGGCAGCUCCGAGUAGAAUGUCAUGUAUCAUCAUAUUUAAAUUAAGAGUAUUACGACAUGGUGUGAAUGCAGCAUCUGAAGACCUUGUUUAGCUGGUUCAGGUGUGUUUAACUGGUUAACUAAACUUUGCGGGACUGGGGCCCUUUAGGAGCAGGAUUGGUCCCCUCUUAUAUAGUCUGUUUGUUCAUGUCAUUACUAUUAGCCACAUUUAUAUCAGAGGGUGUUCAGGAGGAGAAUGAUGAUGUGAAGAAUGACAGAGAAUAUAUGAGUGACAUGUUUGACUAUGAUGAUGUGGAGGAGGAUCCAGGAAAACAGGCAGGAGCUGUAUAACUCAAACCUCACACACUGCCUCAAAUCCUUUCAAAGAUUUUAAAGUUUAAGUGGUCUUACUAUAUAAGGUUCAGUUGCAAUCUAAUAGUUUGUUACCUUCUGUAUUGAAAUUUACAACUGCAAUUUUUUUUUUAAAAAAGUGUUUGACUUUUUCCAGGUACUUUUACAACUUUUUUUCAGAUAAUUUUCUGACACUCAGUUAAUUUGAAAGAACAUAAUUGUGUUGAGUUCAAGUCGUUCACCAUUAAUCUACCACCCAUCAUUAACAGAUUACAUUAUCUGCAACUUACAAAAAUAUAAUUGCUUUUAAAUGUAAACUCACUGUUCACUUUAAAAAAUUUUAAAGUCAAUAAGAAGUAAUCAGUAAUCAGUCAUCAGUCAUCUCUCCUUACUCUCGACCCGAGCUGUGUUUAUGAUCAUUGUGCAUAACAGUGACAGUAAAUUUUAGGUAGGAAAAUGAAAUAUAUGUGUUUUGAUAUUUGGGAUAUGGUCAUUGUGGUUUUUUGACUGGCCAUUGGGCUAGUUUUGUCACGCAGACCUGGCAACCCUGGUGUAGAGCAGAUGCUUUCAGUUUAGAAUUGGAUAGGGUGCAUUUUCCAACUGCACUAAAUGAUUUUUAUUUCUAUAAAAUGCAAAACGACCGAUCUCAGUCGCAGCUUCAACAUCUAUUUAUAGUGUAGGGGGCAGGACGCUACAGAUUCUAAAGAGCAUUUGAUUGGACAGUAAGUUUGAUGAGAGGAUGAAGUGCAGGAUGAUGUCAUCACAAUUGUUGAUUCAUGUUGGUGGAAAUGAGAGACUAAGUUUUGAAUGCUUAUAUCUUGUAAACGCGAAUUGUGUUGUUGUUUUGGAGCACACACGCUUAUAGAUAACCUUAAGGCUAAUAUAUUCAUACUAAAACCCCCCCAAAAAACUUUAAUUUUGAUUUCAUGGGGACUUUAAAGUGUCAGUUAUUGCAUUAUUAUUUCAGUUAAACCUAUAUAAUCCUUUGUUACCCCAAACUACAUAUAAAAGCAUACAGUGGCAUUAAAGUAAUCAUAAUGCAGCUACUUAUUCCUUUGUUACUCAUUGAUGCGUGAUAGUGAUGUUACGUUCGUGAAUUAAUCGUUCUUUUUGAAUGAAUCUUUUAGUUGAAGGAAUCGUUCUCAUUCACGUAAUACAUUGACAGCGCAUGCGCAGAUCAGUGAACUAGGUAGCUCUGUGAACUGUUUCAUCCUGUCACAGAAUGAUUAAACCUCAAGCCAAUAGCCUUCGAGUAUGAGAUGUGAUGGAACAUGUGAUUUGUUGAAUGUAGUGAACGAAUACGCCCUUCACUGAACGAGUUUCUUUUGAGUCUGAACGAGAUCGAGAGAUCAUCUUGUUCUUGAACGAAAUGACCGAACUGGUACAUGUCGUUUCUGAAUGAGUUGAAUGAACUGAUACAUCUUGUUCGUGAAUGAAAUGACUGAACUGGUACAUAUCUUGUUCGUGAAUGAAAAGAAUGAGAGUGUACCGGGUCAUUCGGCCAUUUAGCAUUUCAAUCUCGAUCAGCAAUCAGCAGAAAGCGGAUGCAAAGCGCAGUUAUAGGUACUGUGCACAUACGCUUGUAUAUAUUCAUAUUUAGCAUACAGAACAUAAUUACACGUUUAAUCCCCAAUUUAUGAAUGUGUAAAUAUCUGACCAAACAAUUAAAAUGUUAAUUAUGCAAGAAAACCUUGUGCUUUGGUCAUCUGAACAAUUUAUUUAGACUUUAUUUAUUUAAUGAGUAGAUUAUGCACACAUUUUAAUAAAGCCAAAUCAGUUUUUUGUAAUAAGUAAAUA